rnacentral:lncRNA from 10 species
CCUUGGCUGGGUGAUGCUACAGGCAACAGGCAGAAGGGAAGGUUUUGCUCAAGGUAAGGCCCAGUGCCCACCCUUCCCCAGGGCACAGAGGUAGGGGGUCCAGGAUUAAGCCUUCUGCAGCUGAUACAACUGGCCAGGGGUAAAGGAGGAGAAGAAGGAAUUCACUGGCACGGACUUCGAUGGGAUGGGAUAGGGCACUUAGUGGCCAGGCUGGUCAUUCUUACGACAGACGUCUGAGCCCUAGGAGAGACCAAAGAGACUCAUUAGGCAACCGAUCAAGCAGUCAAUCAGUCAAUCAACCAGGCAAGGCCAAGGACAACAGCCCUCCAAACUGGGGAGAAGGAGGGUUCACAUAACUUUGGAAAUUUUGUGGAUGUUUAAUCAAAAUGAAGAAACUCUGCCCUGCUUCAGAAGAG